rnacentral:rRNA from 1 species
UGAGCCUCGGAUCAGGUAGGGAUACCCGCUGAACUUAAGCAUAU